rnacentral:rRNA from 1 species
AGUCGAGGGGUAUAAUUCUUCGGAAUUAGAGACCGGCGCACGGGUGCGUAACGCGUAUGCAAUCUACCUUUUACAGAGGGAUAGCCCAGAGAAAUUUGGAUUAAUACCUCAUAGCAUAGCAGCUUCGCAUGAAGCCACUAUUAAAGUCACAACGGUAAAAGAUGAGCAUGCGUCCCAUUAGCUAGAUGGUAAGGUAACGGCUUACCAUGGCAACGAUGGGUAGGGGUCCUGAGAGGGAGAUCCCCCACACUGGUACUGAGACACGGACCAGACUCCUACGGGAGGCAGCAGUGAGGAAUAUUGGACAAUGGGCGCAAGCCUGAUCCAGCCAUGCCGCGUGCAGGAUGACGGUCCUAUGGAUUGUAAACUGCUUUUGCACAGGAAGAAACAACAUUACGUGUAAUGUCUUGACGGUACUGUGAGAAUAAGGAUCGGCUAACUCCGUGCCAGCAGCCGCGGUAAUACGGAGGAUCCAAGCGUUAUCCGGAAUCAUUGGGUUUAAAGGGUCCGUAGGCGGUUUAGUAAGUCAGUGGUGAAAGCCCAUCGCUCAACGGUGGAACGGCCAUUGAUACUGCUAGACUUGAAUUAUUAGGAAGUAACUAGAAUAUGUAGUGUAGCGGUGAAAUGCUUAGAGAUUACAUGGAAUACCAAU